rnacentral:rRNA from 1 species
GUUCGCAACAAGGCCUUUAAUAACCCCGCAUUUCCCGAGCCGUCCCGCCAAAGAAUUCAGACUACACUUUCGGGGGGCCGAGUUGGCCCCUCCCAGUAACCUUUGACCCUUUGAACUCACGUCUUCUCCUCUCACCUUAAGGUGCACAUCGCCACUUUACGCAUCUCUACACCUCCUUGUGGUCACCGCUUCCGCUGAGAGACCAGACAUUGACUGCGACUCCUCGCUUUCGCACCCCUCGCUUGUCCUAAUCUAUGGGACCAUCAGGUGCGGCAUUUGCUACUCACGAUUCACAAUCCCCCAAAGGCGGGGAAUCACGACGUCGAUUGCGUAAUUCGUGAGGCGGACCCCUCAUGCCAGCGUUCUGACUUUGAGUUUCCUUAACUGCCCCCGGGCGUGUUCGCCACCUCGUACACCAAAUUAAGCUUCGUUGCGCUUCUUGGAAUGGUCCAGAACUGUAGGAGACUGUUGGGAUCUCUAUCCCGAAAGGGAAGCCCCUGUCUCACUGUCCACCACGUACCAACAGCAGUCGAGCACAGCACUCUACAACCCAAUUCAGGGCGUUGCUCGCGUUGGGAACUAGAAUCAACGGUCGUAAGUCAACCCGUGAGAUUCCACUGACGGCCACUGUUUGGCCUCCUUCCACCCCUACUGCAGUUUAGUAGUACGGGGAAUACUGGACCCGAUGUGUGCACGAUGUUACCUGUCUUGUUUCCCGACGCUCUGGCGUUCCAAAUCGGUUAGGGUGUUUAGACAAGAGUCAAGCCUA